GAGUUUGAUCCUGGCUCAGGAUUAACGCUAGCGGCAGGCCUAACACAUGCAAGUCGAGGGGUAACAGGUGUAGCAAUACAUGCUGACGACCGGCGCACGGGUGAGUAACGCGUAUGCAACCUACCUUUAACAGGAAGAUAGCCCCGAGAAAUCGGGAUUAAUACUCCAUAAUGAUUAAAAGCCGCAUGGUUUUUAAUUUAAAGUUCCGACGGUUAAAGAUGGGCAUGCGUGACAUUAGUUAGUUGGAGAGGUAACGGCUCACCAAGACCACGAUGUCUAGGGGUUCUGAGAGGAUUAUCCCCCACACUGGUACUGAGACACGGACCAGACUCCUACGGGAGGCAGCAGUGAGGAAUAUUGGUCAAUGGGCGCAAGCCUGAACCAGCCAUCCCGCGUGAAGGAAGAAGGCGCUAUGCGUUGUAAACUUCUUUUCCAGGGGGAGAAUUUUUCCGUCGUGACGGGAAUUGACGGUACUCUGGGAAUAAGCAUCGGCUAACUCCGUGCCAGCAGCCGCGGUAAUACGGAGGAUGCGAGCGUUAUCCGGAUUUAUUGGGUUUAAAGGGUGCGUAGGCGGAUAGAUAAGUCAGUGGUGAAAUUCUGCAGCUUAACUGUAGACUUGCCGUUGAUACUGUCAGUCUUGAGUAUGGUCAAGGCAGGCGGAAUGUGUAAUGUAGCGGUGAAAUGCUUAGAUAUUACACAGAACACCGAUUGCGAAGGCAGCUUGCUGGGCCAUUACUGACGCUGAUGCACGAAAGCGUGGGGAUCGAACAGGAUUAGAUACCCUGGUAGUCCACGCCGUAAACGAUGAUCACUCGCUGUUGGCGAUACACAGUCAGCGGCUAAGCAAAGCAUUAAGUGAUCCACCUGGGGAGUACGGCCGCAAGGCUGAAACUCAAGGAAUUGACG
rnacentral:rRNA from 1 species